rnacentral:rRNA from 1 species
GACGAACGCUGGCGGCGUGCUUAACACAUGCAAGUCGAACGCUGAAGCUCAGCUUUUGUUGGGUGGAUGAGUGGCGAACGGGUGAGUAACACGUGAGUAACCUGCCCCCUUCUUUGGGAUAACGCCCGGAAACGGGUGCUAAUACUGGAUAUUCACUGGUCUUCGCAUGGGGGUUGGUGGAAAGGGUUUUUCUGGUGGGGGAUGGGCUCGCGGCCUAUCAGCUUGGUGGUGGGGUGAUGGCCUACCAAGGCUUUGACGGGUAGCCGGCCUGAGAGGGUGACCGGCCAGAUUGGGACUGAGAUAAGGCCCAGACUCCUACGGGAGGCAGCAGUGGGGAAUAUUGCACAAUGGGCGCAAGCCUGAUGCAGCGACGCCGCGUGAGGGAUGGAGGCCUUCGGGUUGUGAACCUCUUUCGCUCAUGGUCAAGCCGCAACAAUGGUUGUGGUGAGGGUAGUGGGUAAAGAAGCGCCGGCUAACUACGUG